UACGUGGGGGGCAAGCGUUGUCCGGAUUUAUUGGGCGUAAAGAGCGUGUAGGCGGCUUGGCAAGUCCGCUGUGAAAACUCGAGGCUCAACCUCGAGACGUCGGUGGAAACUGCCUCGCUAGAGUCCGGAAGAGGAGAGUGGAAUUCCUGGUGUAGCAGUGAAAUGCGUAGAGGUCAUGAGGAAGACCAGUGGCGAAGGCGGGUCUCUGGACAGUUCCUGACACUGAGGCACGAAGGCCAGGGGAGCAAACGGG
rnacentral:rRNA from 1 species